AAUGGAAAAGUGCAAGGUGUAGCGUCGUAAUCAACAGUGUCAUCGUCGUAUCGUCGUCAUCAUCUUCGUCGUCGUCGUAGUUUUAAACGACUUCAGCUUUUCUCGGAAUCCAAACAGAAAAUUUGUGAUUCCUACGCUUGUUCCUUUGAUUUGGAUACGAUUCAAAUCCGAUACGUUGAGGUUGUGAGGCGGUUUCUGCGAAUGGGGAAGGCGUUCGAGGCGGCGGAUGCGACUGAGCUGGUGACAGGACUACGGCGAGGCUUCGAUGCCGGAGUGACUCGCGGAUAUGAGUGGAGAGUGUCUCAACUCAAGAACCUCCUCAAGGUAUGCGACCACCACGAGCCGGAGAUUGUCGCCGCCCUCCGCGACGAUCUCGGAAAGCCGGAGCUCGAGUCCUCCAUCUACGAGGUUGCCCUGCUGAGAAACUCGAUUAAGUUAGCACUAAAACACCUAAAAGACUGGAUGACACCCGAGAAGGCAAAAACUUCUCUGACGACCUUUCCUGCAUCUGCUGAAAUUGUGUCAGAGCCUUUGGGAGUUAUCUUAGUAAUCUCGGCUUGGAAUUUUCCUUUUUUGUUGUCUCUUGACCCAGUUGUUGGAGCAAUUGCUGCCGGUAAUGCUGUUGUCCUAAAGCCAUCAGAAAUCGCUCCCGCCACAGCAUCUCUGCUCUCAAAGUUAAUGGAACAAUAUCUAGAUUGCUCUGCCAUAAAAGUUGUAGAAGGAGGCGUAGCCGAAACAACUGCAUUGCUGGAGCAAAAAUGGGACAAAAUAUUUUAUACAGGUAAUUCAAGAGUUGCACGUGUCAUAAUGGCAGCAGCUGCAAAACACCUCACGCCUGUAGUCUUGGAGCUGGGGGGAAAAUCUCCUGCUGUAGUGGACUCGGGCAUUAAUUUGCGAGUUGCUGUUAGGCGGAUAAUUGCUGGAAAAUGGGGUUGCAACAAUGGACAGGCAUGUGUUUCUCCUGACUACAUCCUGACAACAAAAGAUCAUGCUCCUAAAGUGAUUGAUGUCUUGAAGCAUGAGUUGGAGGCAUUUUAUGGGAAGAACCCUAUGGAGUCCAAGGAUCUCUCUCGUAUUGUAAACUCUAACCACUUUGACCGCUUGGCGAGGAUUUUGGAUGAGGAUAAAGUUGCCGAUAAAAUCGUCUAUAGAGGUCAAAAGGACAGAGCUAACCUGAAAAUCGCUCCGACCAUCCUGCUUGAUGUACCGAGAGACUCGCUUAUCAUGAAUGAAGAAAUAUUUGGCCCUCUACUUCCCAUCCUCACGCUCGAGAACUUGGAAGACAGUUUUGACGUGAUCAAUUCCGGAUCAAAGCCACUUGCUGCAUAUUUGUUUACCAAUGACAAAAAGCUGAAAGAGAAAUUUGCGAGGAUAGUCUCUGCUGGAGGCGUAGUGGUCAACGACAUAGCCGUUCAUCUUGCGCUUCACACGUUGCCGUUUGGGGGAGUUGGGGAAAGUGGAAUGGGUUCAUACCACGGGAAAUUCUCUUUCGAUGCUUUCAGCCACAAGAAGGCUGUUCUUUACCGAAGCCUUUUAGGUGAUGCAUCAAUGAGAUACCCGCCUUACUCGCGAUGGAAGCUUAGAUUGCUAAAGGCUCUUGUCAACAGAAAUCUAUUGGACUUACUCAAAGCCCUACUAGGUUUACAUUAAAGGUAAGGCGACGGAGAUCUCACAGCCAGUCAAAGCUUCCACGAGAGGGAUUGCUACUUCCAUCUCGAGGUCGUCUCCUUCCCUUGUGAACAGCUUGUGCUCUUUCUCGGCGAUCACAAAUGUCAGCCUUUGCAGAGCUCCUCGAGCGUGCAGACGAGUUCCUCCUUGGUCGGAGGAGGCUUAGCCACAGUGGCAGCAGAGGUCGAGUACAAUAUCGGGUUGGUGAAGGUUCUCUGGACGGUUGAGGCUGCGACGGAGGGUCCAAAGCUGAACGACGAUGACAGGUUCCGGCUGUUGCAACUGCUCUUGCUCCUUGCGAAGGAUGACGAUGACAGGUUUCGCCUCAAGGGCGUGGCCCUACUCUGGCUGCAACUUCUCGACAGUGACGGCUUCUUGUCCCGCACCAAAUCCGCACCAUCGUAUCGAUAGCUACGAACCCUACAAAGUCUCACCCCUCCCUCCUUCACAUCAGCCUUCGCUUCCUGAAGACACACA